rnacentral:rRNA from 1 species
GACGAACGCUGGCGGCGUGCCUAAUACAUGCAAGUCGAACGCUGAAGAGAGGAGCUUACUCUUCUUGGAUGAGUUGCGAACGGGUGAGUAACGCGUAGGUAACCUGCCUUGUAGCGGGGGAUAACUAUUGGAAACGAUAGCUAAUACCGCAUAACAAUGGAUGACACAUGUCAUUUAUUUGAAAGGGGCAAUUGCUCCACUACAAGAUGGACCUGCGUUGUAUUAGCUAGUAGGUGAGGUAAUGGCUCACCUAGGCGACGAUACAUAGCCGACCUGAGAGGGUGAUAGGCCAAACUGGGACUGAGACACGGCCCAGACUCCUACGGGAGGCAGCAGUAGGGAAUCUUCGGCAAUGGGGGCAACCCUGACCGAGCAACGCCGCGUGAGUGAAGAAGGUUUUCGGAUCGUAAAGCUCUGUUGUAAGUCAAGAGCGGGUGUGAGAGUGGAAAGUUCACACUGUGACGGUAGCUUACCAGAAAGGGACGGCUAACUACGUG